UACGUAGGUGGCAAGCGUUGUCCGGAUUUACUGGGCGUAAAGCGCGCGCAGGCGGUCGUUCAAGUCGCGUGUGAAAGCCCCCGGCUCAACUGGGGAGGGUCACGCGAUACUGAUCGACUCGAAGGCAGGAGAGGGUAGUGGAAUUCCCGGUGUAGUGGUGAAAUGCGUAGAUAUCGGGAGGAACACCGGUGGCGAAGGCGGCCAACUGGACGGUGACUGACGCUGAGACGCGAAAGCGUGGGGAGCAAACAGG
rnacentral:rRNA from 1 species